CCCCAAGUGAUGAGGCCCGCUCCCCAUCUGCAGACCCUCAGUCACACCUGCGCACCCGUUCGGUUCAUGCAUUAGCAUGGGGAUGCCUUUAGGGGAGGGCACUGCUCUGUCACCAUGUCCCCCUUUCCUCCCCAAGAGACACCAGGACCACAUCCCCUCUGCCCUCCACGAGAGGGAAACUAGGGCUUCAGCUGCCAUGACUCUGCUUCUGGUCUUCGGUGGAUCAUCAAGCACAAGGGGACAAAUGCUACACAAUGUGCCCAGGCAUGAAGACAUCCCCCAACACUGAGAUCACGUAAAAUUCUAGAGUCGACCAUGACACAACACCAAGGAAGUGGGGAAGCUUCUAGCAUGACCACCUAUGAAUUCCCACCACUCGGUAGGAGGAGGAUGGGGUGUAGACAAAAAGCAGCUUCUUCCUCAUGACUGGGGAUGCAUUUCAUGGGCACGGCCAGGGCCUCUGUGCCAGGACUGCAGCCCCUGGCCUGUGCUGCCCUCACAGAGGGUCAGCUGCAGCCUCAGCCUGGAGCCGCCCCUCUCCCCAGCUCCUGGAACAACGGUCCAGUGCCACAUCAGGAGGCCCAGGGAGCGCCCCGCUCCAGGUGCACAGCCCGGAGUCUGGUGAGGGCCAGGAGCAGGAGCGGGGGCUGAGCCCAGAGCACGCGGAGGCCUACAGGAGGACAUACAGAGGCCGCCACUACAGGCAUAGGUGCUGUUCUCGGAGGAGGCUAUGCCGGAUCCACAGAAGGUGGCACCCAUCCUGCCGAAGGCGCAGGAGAUGCAUCUGUAGGAGGCGACGUCGCCAAGGUUGCAGAAGAAGGAGAAGAUGCAGGAGGUACCACUAAACCUUCCCAGGCCCUGCCGGAAGCUAUGGAAAAGUCACCUGCCCAAGGAACAGGAGGCAAGGCCAUAACACCCCUCCCAUGUUGAUACCUCAACCCUGAGUUGCCAAGGAGCCCACAAGAUCUGAGCGAUGAGCACAGUCACCUGCCAAAUAAAGCUUGACAAAGAAC
rnacentral:lncRNA from 1 species